GAGGAGACAGGCCCCAUUCCCCACCUCCCUGAGCCAGCCAGACCCCGCCCUGGGGCCAAGUGGGAGUCAGCGCACCCUAGAGGGGACAGGUCCCAUGCCCCAUUCCCUGCCCCCCUGAGCCAGCCAAUUCCCUGCCCUGGGGCCGGAUGGAAGCCAGCGCCCU